UCGAGUCUCCAAUGCCACUUGCCACAUCUCGUCGCCGCUCCUACCUCUCACCGCCACUCCACCACCAUGGCUGCCCCAAGGGUUGCCCCUAGCGUCACGCAUGACCACGCCAGCCCCGUUGCGGUGGCCUCGGCUCUGGUGAACCCCUGCGCGGGUGGGCGCCUGACGCGGAAACCGCACCACCGGCGACGUUGAUCGAGCCGGCCUACGCGAGCAGCACCCGGCAACUUGGUGUCCUCAGCACAGGCGAGCAUGACCAUUUCAGCUUGUGCCGGUAGCCCUUGAACCGGUGACUGUACGGAUCUCUGUCCAGGCUUCGCCUCUGCACUGGAUUUCGUCCCCGCUCCGCCUUUGCAUCGGAUCUCCUCCCCUUCUGGUUCGUAUGUGCAUCGUCGUCUGCAUCGAGACGAGAACAAGGUUACAAAGAGGUUAUAUUUCUUUUGCUCUUCUACACUGUGAAUUGCCAGAAUGCCAGCAGUUUAGAAGAUCGUAUUAUAUAUAUAAUAAGUUUGUUUGUGCGAUGGAGGGGAGGACUUGGCUAAGCAGCAGCCAGUAGGCUAUAUUAAGGAACCACAGCUGGGUAUUAGAGCACGACACUAUGACAUUGCAACUAGACCACAAAAAAAUUAGUAAGUCAGCAUUGUUACUGGUAGUCUAUGACAGCACGUCUGCAAUAGAAUAGCCAAGGUGUAUGUAAAAAAUCUAUAUGCUUCUAGUCUUAGCGCUGAGCUGAUCUCUCUAGUUAAGCUAGAGUUGUUAUAUCUUGUUUCAUAAUCAGUAUCACUUAUUGCUUCCUUAUUUUAGGCAUAAUGCACAUAAUUAAUUCCUAGUUGUUAUUUAAAAUGAGUAGCUUUGUGAUGUACUCAUAGGGAUUAAAUCUGAACAUAUAUCCUGUGAUUCUUUUACAAAUAUUCUGUGGUGGCUGGGGUCUGCAAUUUGUAUUUGCCUUUUGGUUAUUUGUUAUGACAUUAGUUGUAAUUUAGGGCAGGUAGGCUAACAAUUGGUUCGUUUUAGCUCAUCGUGUUUAUCGCAGUCCAACAUACUUUUUCAUUUUCUAAGGCUGUGAGAACAGAGUUGAACCAAAUAGCUUCAUUUACAAGAGCGAUUCAAUAUAGCCAUUUAUUUGUGCAGUUUUCAAAGACAUUGGAGGACCUGAAGGGAUAGAAUCUAGCGUUCCAGGUUCCAACGCCUUAGGCCUUGUUUGGAUGUAGUCGGAUUCACAUCAAUCCACGUGUGUUGAGGUGGAUUAGAAUGAAAUUUGAACU